ACAGAAGCCUUGGGAUUAAUAAUUACUUUGCUAAAAAUGAUGAAUUCUUGGCUGGUGUGUUUGCAGGGAUCGGGCUGUGAGUCCCUGAAUGGCUGGAACCCUGGCAGAGAGGAGCCCGGAGUGUCGAAAGAGGGGCAACACAGACCAGAUGCAUCCUACAGAGACGGGAGGACUCCGAGCUUGGGGAAGAGACAGUUAAAGCUUCCCCGUGAGAGCGAGUUAUAUCAUGCAGCGCCAGUGCCAGGUCAGCAGUCUGGCUGGAGCUGGACCGGCUGGUGGCGCCAGGCAGUGCCAAGCACCCCUGGCAGCCCUGCAGAGGGUUCUCAAAUCCAGAUUUCAUUCUGCAGUCCCGGCAGUGCUUUGACGACUGCCUCACUAAAGGAAGCUAAAAGCUGUGCCGAUGCCUCCCAGACGAGCCUCGUUGGAAGCACAGAACCUUCACGACUCGGAGCCGCUGACACGGUGACAAAGGGAGCCCUGCUCAGGAGAAAGAGUAAAUGAGAAGAAGUAGCACUUCUUCAGGUGUCAGGCUGGAGGAAGCCACUUGAAGAUAAGUCUACAUCUGCCUUAGGAUUGCCUGGCGGCCUGCGCCAUUCCGUGUUAUGUCUACUUAUUUGCUCCCUGUAUUCAAUGAUUUUUUUUUUUACUUAAUUCUCUCUUACUGACCCUGAGAGUGACCAUAUUUUUAACCAAUUUGGUCUUCAGCCUCAAAACUUAGCUCUUUCCUUUUGGGGUCCCUGAAUCCUACCACGUGUCAUGGUGGCUGUGAAGAUGUUUGCCAAGCCUGCUGAAAAGACUCAUCUGUGGCAUCUGAGAGCACAGAUUUCAACUCUGGACCCCUGUAAACUGCCUUUGGAAUUAUGGACACCCAGCACUGUUUUGAAAUAUCAGUGGACAUCCAGUUUUUAAAAGCCCUCAGAGCUUUGGGAGGCACCCCUUUAUCUCUCUGGCAUGUCAGAGAACCGAUUCAACCCUUCUCAUCUCCUCUUCCUUCCCUCUCUUGGGCAAUCAGGAUGCAGCAGCAACUCACUGUGCAUGUUUUUACAGCUCUUCUCCAGUAAUGCUGCCAUUUCCACUGCAGACCACAGGAUAAAAAGGACCACUUCACAGUGGCCCAGGAUACCCUUUUAAGUAGGAGAGAGGAUUAUUGGCAACUGGCACCACCCCCACGUCUGGAGGAGGGACGUUUCUAGGAUGACCCCCAGAGUGGAGAAAUAGCCGAGAUAACAAAAUGUAUCUACCCUCUCCAAGAGUGUAAACUAACCUGGUGGCUGGAAAAAACAAACAAACAAACAAACAAAGAUCUGUGAAGAAAGAUCUGACUUUUCAACUGGCGCAUACCGUUCCUUGAAACAGAGGUGAUAAACAGCCCUUAACAGAUUGCCUGGUGUCCGCCCACAUUGGUGAGGGUGAUCUUCUUUGCUCAGCGUACUGAAUCAAAUGCCAGACUCUUCCAGAAGGACCUUCACAGGAAUGAGUGUCUGAAAGAAGCCUUUUCUGAUUCCCUGCAAAAGUUCAUUCAUCAGGAGGAAGGGGAGUCAUCCCAGCCUUCACCACCUGUGGAACGCAGCAACCUCACUGUGGAAGACACCAGCAGCCUGUUCCUCCCAAGAAUGAGCCGCAGAGGGUGUUGCCCGCAGCAGGAGGGAGCCGAUUCUCAUCUGAGAACAAAGUGACUUGAUGAAUUCUACAUUUUAAAGAGCCUGGACGCAGCUGACCUUAAUGUUUAUUCAAUCAGUGCUGGGAAGGAAGCUAACAUUCAAAGGUGCUUUGCUCUGCUUGCCUCCAGGACUGGGGCAGGAGAAUGCCUUGUACAGUGUGCUUUGUGCUAUUAUGGUCAAACUGGCAUAGUCAGCCAAAAGAGAGGCGCCCACAUAGAUCCCCCAGAAGAAGUCACUGAUGUGGAGGUGGCAAAGUGUAAGAAAGACAGAACCAAUCUGGGUCAACUGGGUUAGACAGAGAUCAGCUCUGCACUCCUAAGGCCAUGGGAACCUGUUCCUGAAUCUGUGGAGCGUCGAUUUUCUGUUCUACUCUGAGUCCUACUAUAAUUAGAAGCAUCAUUAUGUGGAAGGGAAUUCCCAGCGGUUCCUAAACAUCCUUCUCCUCCUUUAACAAAUAAAGACAUAUGCAUCUUGCAUUAAUACUGUGGAAUAAAUAAUGAAUUAUAAAUGGAAUAGAAAUUAUAAUACAGUGAUGUGAUGUCUGCACAGAUUUUUAUGGUCCCCGGAGUCAGUCCCUUUAGAGAUGUACAUUAUUUUCUCUAUUUAAAGAUAUUCACAACUCUUUGUUAAUCCAGCUCACCAUACUCAUCUAGGGACACUGGGAGGGAAAAUGUAUUUGGAAUUCUAUGGGCUCCAUUCUUCCAUUGCUUUUCAAUUAGAGACACCAUUCGUCUUGUGUGUUUUAUCUCUUGGAGCGUUCUCCCACGUGCUGCUGGAAGAUAACACUCUUUUCAGGUCUCUGAAGUUGCUGGGUUUUACUACGUGUCUCCUAACACCCAUAGGUGUAUGUAAUCUCACUGUAACAGAAUGUUGUCAUGUCUUGUUGACUAAUUAAGCACCCUCGUUCCAAAGCUCAGCAGCUGAAAGUUCAAGUGUUAAACGGUGGGAUAGUGAAUCCAGGAGGCAGUGAAUGAGGAGGCGACUCGGGCCCUGGCUGGGAUUUUACUUCUUGCUCUUCUGUUGUAUUAUUUUGUCUCUGUUUUGCCACAUGCUGCCUGGUUGAAGACGCCAGGAGGCUCGACACAGAGCCAAAUAUAUUGUCCAAACGUGAGAUUAAAAAUUAGAUCAUAUGUGAUAAAAGACAGCAAUUUAUUUUAGCUUGGUGUUACAUCAGGAAAGUAUGAAAAAAUAUAAUCAAUUUAUUUGCUUACUCACACAACCAAUACUGAGUGUCUGCUAUGUGCUAGACACAGGAAAAAAAUACCAGGUCUAAAAUGAUCCAUAAGGCAAGAUUCUUGCUCUUGAAACACACAAUCCACUGGGAGAGAAAGACAAGUAGUAGAAGAUUAUAGGACAGCAUCAUGAGAAUUGGGAGAAGGACUUGUUGAAUUCAGGAAAGGUGGCAUUUGAGCAGUGUAAGGACCUGUUGGAUGAACAGUGGGAAUUGAAGUAGGAGGAAAACAGAAUUUAGAAGAUCAUGAAGGACUUCCCAUUCUGCAGCAAAAACUUGGGCUUUUACUCAAGGACUUGAGGAGCUGUUGAAGAUUUCAACUGAGAAGCUUCGAGAGGAACCUUGAGACUGAGCUAGUGCCCCUCAAUGGCUGUGUGAAAGCAUGGACUCAAUGGGAGGAAAGAAUCAAACAAGUCCUGAGAGGACUCUAAAGAAAAAGAAAGGAGGCACUGAAAGACUGGGCUAAACAGUGAUGAUAGGCUCUCAAGUUAUGGAAGAAGCAUGUAAAUGGGGCUGAGCAGGUCGCUGGAGUAAGGAGAGUUGGAGUCUGCUUUGGCUACCUUGCAUGGAAAUGAUGCUGGUUGUUAAACCAAGGAAUACAGGAAAAAAGACACUGUUUAGAGAUGACAUCAUGAUUUCAGUGUGAGUCAAUUUCAGUCUGAGGCACCAAUAAGACACUCAGGAGGAGUGGGCUAGUUAACCACCCACCAGUGCCCGGAGCUCAAGAGGAAUGUCAGGGCUGGGAUGAAGGUAAUACUUCACAAAUUGAGGUAUGCUCAUGGAGAGUAGCAGGUAAUGCUUUUGAAGCAGAAAGAUUUGUCCCUGAGUUCCAACAAUUGUCUUAGCAGACAGAGUUUCAAGGUCAUCAAAUCUGUAUCCAUUGGUGGGAAGAAGAUGUCAAUCACAUUGCAUUUGAAUGAGAACCUAUCAUUUUUCAAUACAGAUAAACUGCCGGCUACACUCUCUUUGUCUGGCUUUUAAAUGUAUCCCUGGAAACUAGGCUUAACGUUUUGCCAAAAAGUGGGUAUUUGCUCUUGACCUUAGAGUAAAGGCUCUCACUUCAACAAGACUUUUAGCUACUCUCCUGAAAAGCCAAGCCUCAUACUGAUGAGAAGAAGAAAAGGAAUAGAAAUGGGAAGGAGAUCUUUAAGAUACUUUCCUGCAAGAGGAAGAAAAUAACAAUUCUUAAGUGCCGAUACAGGUCAGGCACUAUACUGAACACUUUGGAUGUGAUAUCUCUUCAAAUUUAUUUGAAUAAUAAUCAGCAGGUAGAAAUUAAACAUAGAUUCUGCACCAUUUCUUUCAGUGCUUUUGGAUGGUUUUUUGUUUGUAAUGCCUUGAAACUUACUUAAUCUCUCAUUAAGUUGCUGAGGUAUGCCUUUUAAAAUAAUAUUUGCAUAGGCCAUGAACCAGAAUGAAUAAAAGGAAAAUCCCAAGAUGUAAAACAUUGUUUUGGAAUUGAUGCCUACCCAACAUUGUGUCCUGAGUUUACUUAGCAUAUAGAAAGGAGUUCCAUACACAAUGAACGUUUGAGGAUUGAAUUUUGGUUGAAUUAACUGUGAUGAGUAAACAAAAAUUGCCAGAAGCUUCAUUGCCUCCUCCACCCCCACUGCCCCGAUGCAGUCCAGAGGCAAAGUUCUAUGUUAAGCCACUUAUAUCAUUCUUACGUAUUUAUACACAUAGUACGUAGCAUAUCUAAGCUCAUGUCUGUCUUAGGAAUUGGAAUUUUAGCAGGCAGAGAGAUUAUCACUUUAACUCUGGGGUGUUCAAUCUUUUGGCUUCCCUGGGCCAUAUCAGAAGAUGAAAAAUUGUCUUGGGCCACACAUAAAAUACACUAACACUAAUGACAGCCGAUGAGCUUAA